rnacentral:rRNA from 1 species
AGAGUUUGAUCCUGGCUCAGGAUGAACGCUGGCGGCGUGCCUAAUACAUGCAAGUCGAGCGAGAAUCUGAUGAUUGGAGAUUCGUCAAAAUGAUUCAGAGGAAAGCGGCGGACGGGUGAGUAACGCGUAGGCAACCUGCCCUUAGCAGAGGGAUAGCCAUUGGAAACGAUGAUUAAAACCUCAUAAUGCUUUUGAGUCACAUGUCUUGAAAGCCAAAGAUUUAUCGGCUAAGGAUGGGCCUGCGUCUGAUUAACUAGUUGGUGGGGUAACGGCUCACCAAGGUGACGAUCAGUAGCCGACCUGAGAGGGUGAUCGGCCACAUUGGAACUGAGACACGGUCCAAACUUCUACGGAAGGCAGCAGUAAGGAAUCUUGCACAAUGGGGGGAGCGCUGAUGCAGCACCGCCGCGUGAACGAUGAAGGCCUUCGGGUUGUAAAGUUCUGAUCUUAGGGAAGAAGAAGUGACGGUACCUAAGGAGAAAGCCCCGGCUAACUACGUGCCAGCAGCCGCGGUAAUACGUAGGGGGCAAGCGUUAUCCGGAAUUAUUGGGCGUAAAGAGUGCGUAGGUGGUUACCUAAGCGCAAGGUUUAAUCUUGAGGCUCAACCUCAUUCUGCCUUGCGAACUGGGCUACUUGAGUGCAGGAGGGGAAAGCGGAAUUCCUAGUGUAGCGGUGAAAUGCGUAGAUAUUAGGAAGAACACCGGUGGCGAASGCGGCUUUCUGGACUGUAACUGACACUGASGCACGAAAGCGUGGGGAGCAAACAGGAUUAGAUACCCUGGUAGUCCACGCCGUAAACGAUGAGCACUAGUUGUUGGGUCCGAAUGGAUUCAGUGACGCAGUUAACGCAAUAAGUGCUCCGCCUGGGGAGUACGGUGGCAACACUAAAACUCAAAGGAAUUGACGGGGACCCGCACAAGCAGCGGAGCAUGUGGUUUAAUUCGAAGCAACGCGAAAAACCUUACCAGGUCUUGACAUCCAGUAAAAGCCAUAGAGAUAUGGUGUGAGCUUGCUCAUACUGAGACAGGUGGUGCAUGGUUGUCGUCAGCUCGUGUCGUGAGAUGUUGGGUUAAGUCCCGCAACGAGCGCAACCCUUAUUUUCAGUUACUAACAGGCAAAGCUGAGGACUCUGAAGAGACUGCCGGGGACAACUCGGAGGAAGGUGGGGACGACGUCAAAUCAUCAUGCCCCUUAUGACCUGGGCUACACACGUGCUACAAUGGCCACCACAGAGAGGAGCGAACCCGCAAGGGGGAGCGGAUCUCAAAAAAGUGGUCCCAGUUCGGAUUGUGGGCUGCAACCCGCCCACAUGAAGUCGGAGUUGCUAGUAAUCGCGGAUCAGCAUGCCGCGGUGAAUACGUUCCCGGGCCUUGUACACACCGCCCGUCACACCAUGGGAGUUGGGAGUGCCCAAAGUCGGUGAGGUAACCGCAAGGAGCCAGCCGCCUAAGGCAAGACCAAUGACUGGGGUGAAGUCGUAACAAGGUAGCCGUA